rnacentral:rRNA from 1 species
GGAUGCGAUCAUACCAGCACUAAAGCACCGGAUCCCAUCAGAACUCCGAAGUUAAGCGUUCUUGGGCGAGGGUAGUACUAGGAUGGGUGACCUCCUGGGAAGUCCUCGUGUUGCAUUCC